rnacentral:misc_RNA from 1 species
GAUGAAGAACGCAGCGAAUUGCGAUAAGUAAUGUGAAUUGCAGAAUUCAGUGAAUCAUCGAAUCUUUGAACGCACAUUGCGCCCCUUGGUAUCCCGAGGGGCAUGCCUGUUCGAGCGUCAUUUCACCACUCAAGCCUGGCUUGGUGUUGGGCGACGUCCUCUUUGGGGACGCGCCUCGAAACGCUCGGCGGCGUGGCACCGGCUUUAAGCGUAGCAGAAUCUUUCGCUUUGGAAGUCGGGGCCCCGUCUGCCGGAAGACCUGCUCGCAAGGUUGACCUCGGAUCAGGCAGGGAUACCCGCUGAACUUAAGCAUAUCAAUAAGCGGAGGA